UACUUAACGCUUACAUAAUAAGUAUACGACUGGUACAGAUAAUAGAUAUAAUAUAAGAUCAAAAGACACUGUAACAUGUAUAUUAUGAAUUUAGUAGUGACAUUCCCAUUUUUUAAAUACAUUUGUAAGUGUUAAUUUCCUCUGAAUUUAGUUUAUACUUUGUUAUGACAAGUGACAACCAAAGUAAAAAACAAUUUUGUAUUUAAUUAAUUUAAGUAAAUAAUGUAACAUUGUUGUAUAAAAACAAUUUGAAAAAUAUUGUCAGACAGUUCAAAUAUUAUUUAACGAAAAAGUAACAUCCAGAUAGUUGUCCUAUUAUAGUCCAAUGUUGUAAAGAAGAAUAUAAUUAUAGAAGAAAUAAUAAAUACAAAAACACCAUGACCAUAAUUUUUUACAUUUUAAAUUAUUUGUGUAAUGUUACAUACAGAAUGGGUUAUGUACCUACUCGUAUAAGUAGUUAAUUGUUUUCUAAUUUUGACAACCUGAAUAGAAAUAACAUUAAAUAACAAUGUUUUUACACUAGAUUACAUUUAAAUUUGCGACAAUUUGUAAUAAUGUCUAUUAUGUUUCUUAUAAUGUAAUUGUAUCUAUCAAUGUAAAAAUGAGUAAAAUUAAUUGAUAAGGAUUAUAACAAUGAAACGACCAACUAACUGCACUGUAAAAAAAAAUAUAUUUUGUAUAUGAACAUUACAAUACAUUGUUAUUAUGUAGGUAUUUAUUAAUAAUAAUAGUUAUUGUUGUAAAACGGGAAUAUGAAAGUUGUUGCACAAUAUAAUAUUGCAUAUUUUUAAUA